rnacentral:rRNA from 1 species
GACAGAGGGUGCAAACGUUGUUCGGAAUUACUGGGCGUAAAGCGCGUGUAGGCGGCUAUGCAAGUCGGAUGUGAAAGCCCUCGGCUCAACCGGGGAAGUGCACCCGAAACUGCAAAGCUAGAGUCUCGGAGAGGAUCGUGGAAUUCUCGGUGUAGAGGUGAAAUUCGUAGAUAUCGAGAGGAAUACCAGCGGCGAAGGCGGCCUUCUGGACGGUGACUGACGCUGAGACGCGAAAGCGUGGGGAGCAAACAGG